rnacentral:rRNA from 1 species
AGUGAACGCUGGCGGUAGGCCUAACACAUGCAAGUCGAACGGCAGCACAGUAAGAGCUUGCUCUUACGGGUGGCGAGUGGCGGACGGGUGAGGAAUACAUCGGAAUCUACUUUUUCGUGGGGGAUAACGUAGGGAAACUUACGCUAAUACCGCAUACGACCUACGGGUGAAAGCAGGGGAUCUUCGGACCUUGCGCGAUUGAAUGAGCCGAUGUCGGAUUAGCUAGUUGGCGGGGUAAAGGCCCACCAAGGCGACGAUCCGUAGCUGGUCUGAGAGGAUGAUCAGCCACACUGGAACUAAGACACGGUCCAGACUCCUACGGGAGGCAGCAGUGGGGAAUAUUGGACAAUGGGUGCAAGCCUGAUCCAGCCAUACCGCGUGGGUGAAGAAGGCCUUCGGGUUGUAAAGCCCUUUUGUUGGGAAAGAAAAGCAGCAGGUUAAUACCCCGCUGUUCUGACGGUACCCAAAGAAUAAGCACCGGCUAACUUCGUG